GAUGAAGAACGUAGCGAAAUGCGAUAAGUAAUGUGAAUUGCAGAAUUCAGUGAAUCAUCGAAUCUUUGAACGCACAUUGCGCCCGCCAGUAUUCUGGCGGGCAUGCCUGUCUGAGCGUCAUUUCAACCCUCAUGCCCCUAGGGCGUGGUGUUGGGGAUCGGCCAAAGCCCGCGAGGGACGGCCGGCCCCUAAAUCUAGUGGCGGACCCGUCGUGGCCUCCUCUGCGAAGUAGUGAUAUUCCGCAUCGGAGAGCGACGAGCCCCUGCCGUUAAACCCCCAACUUUCCAAGGUUGACCUCAGAUCAGGUAGGAAUACCCGCUGAACUUAAGCAUAUCAAUAAGCGGAG
rnacentral:misc_RNA from 1 species